AUAAUGAUACUUGCGUUUAGUCCUAAAGUCGAGCGUUGAAGCGAUUGAACAAUCGUGAGCCGUCGCAACAAAGGAGAGCGCCUCGCAGAGAACCUGGGAGUGGUGAGAUUCCAAUGA
rnacentral:ncRNA from 1 species